rnacentral:rRNA from 1 species
UAGGGAAUCUUCGGCAAUGGGGGGAACCCUGACCGAGCAACGCCGCGUGAGUGAAGAAGGUUUUCGGAUCGUAAAGCUCUGUUGUUAAGGAAGAACGAGUGUGAGAAUGGAAAGUUCAUGCUGUGACGGUACUUAACCAGAAAGGGACGGCUAACUACGUGCCAGCAGCCGCGGUAAUACGUAGGUCCCGAGCGUUGUCCGGAUUUAUUGGGCGUAAAGCGAGCGCAGGCGGUUAGAAAAGUCUGAAGUGAAAGGCAGUGGCUCAACCAUUGUAGGCUUUGGAAACUGUUUAACUUGAGUGCAGAAGGGGAGAGUGGAAUUCCAUGUGUAGCGGUGAAAUGCGUAGCUAUAUGGAGGAACACCGGUGGCGAAGGCGGCUCUCUGGUCUGUAACUGACGCUGAGGCUCGAAAGCGUGGGGAGCGAACAGG